rnacentral:rRNA from 1 species
AGUCACACUGCCAAGAAAAACUUCUAGUGAGAAAGUAACUGCCCGUACCGCAAACCGACACAGGUAGUUGAGGAGAGAAUCCUAAGGUGUGCGAGAGAACUCUCGUUAAGGAACUCGGCAAAAUGACCCCGUAACUUCGGGAGAAGGGGUGCUGACCGCAAGGUCAGCCGCAGUGAAUAGGCCCAAGCGACUGUUUAUCAAAAACACAGGUCUCUGCAAAAUCGAAAGAUGACGUAUAGGGGCUGACGCCUGCCCGGUGCUGGAAGGUUAAGAGGAGAGGUUAGCGCAAGCGAAGCUUUGAAUUGAAGCCCCAGUAAACGGCGGCCGUAACGAUAACGGUCCUAAGGUAGCGAAAUUCCUUGUCGGGUAAGUUCCGACCCGCACGAAAGGCGUAACGAUUUGGGCACUGUCUCAACGAGAGACUCGGUGAAAUUAUAGUACCAGUGAAGAUGCUGGUUACCCGCGACAGGACGGAAAGACCCCAUGGAGCUUUACUGCUGUUUGAUAUUGCGUGUUUGUAUCACAUGUACAGGAUAGGUAGGAGCCGAAGAUACCGGGACGCCAGUCUCGGAGGAGGCAACGGUGGGAUACUACCCUUGUGAUAUGACCACUCUAACCCGCUGCUCUUAGCGAGCAGGGAGACAGUGUCAGACGGGCAGUUUGACUGGGGCGGUCGCCUCCAAAAAUGUAACGGAGGCGCCCAAAGGUUCCCUCAGAAUGGUUGGAAAUCAUUCGUAGAGUGUAAAGGCAGAAGGGAGCUUGACUGCGAGACCUACAAGUCGAGCAGGGACGAAAGUCGGGCUUAGUGAUCCGGUGGUUCCGCAUGGAAGGGCCAUCGCUCAACGGAUAAAAGCUACCCUGGGGAUAACAGGCUUAUCUCCCCCAAGAGUUCACAUCGACGGGGAGGUUUGGCACCUCGAUGUCGGCUCAUCGCAUCCUGGGGCUGUAGUCGGUCCCAAGGGUUGGGCUGUUCGCCCAUUAAAGCGGUACGCGAGCUGGGUUCAGAACGUCGUGAGACAGUUCGGUCCCUAUCCGUCGCGGGCGUUGGAAAUUUGAGAGGAGCUGUCCUUAGUACGAGAGGACCGGGAUGGACACACCGCUGGUGUACCAGUUGUUCUGCCAAGAGCAUCGCUGGGUAGCUAUGUGUGGACGGGAUAAACGCUGAAAGCAUCUAAGCGUGAAGCCUCCCUCAAGAUGAGAUUUCCCAUCACUUUAAGUGAGUAAGACCCCUGAGAGAUGAUCAGGUAGAUAGGUUGGGAGUGGAAGUACAGCGAUGUAUGGAGCGGACCAAUACUAAUCGGUCGAGGACUUAACU